rnacentral:rRNA from 1 species
UACGUAGGGUGCAAGCGUUGUCCGGAAUUAUUGGGCGUAAAGAGCUUGUAGGCGGUUUGUCGCGUCUGCUGUGAAAUUUCGGGGCUCAACUCCGGAUCUGCGGUGGGUACGGGCAGACUAGAGUGAUGUAGGGGAGACUGGAAUUCCUGGUGUAGCGGUGAAAUGCGCAGAUAUCAGGAGGAACACCGAUGGCGAAGGCAGGUCUCUGGGCAUUAACUGACGCUGAGGAGCGAAAGCAUGGGGAGCGAACAGG